rnacentral:rRNA from 1 species
AUUGAACGCUGGCGGCAUGCCUAACACAUGCAAGUCGAACGGCGGCACGGGAGCUUGCUCCUGGUGGCGAGUGGCGGACGGGUGAGUAGUGCAUAGGAAUCUGCCCAGUAGCGGGGGACAACUUGGGGAAACUCAAGCUAAUACCGCAUGCGCCCUACGGGGGGAAAGCGGGGGACCUUCGGGCCUCGCACUAUUGGAUGAGCCUAUGUCAGAUUAGCUUGUUGGUGGGGUAACGGCCUACCAAGGCGACGAUCUGUAGCUGGUCUGAGAGGACGAUCAGCCACACUGGGACUGAGACACGGCCCAGACUCCUACGGGAGGCAGCAGUGGGGAAUAUUGCACAAUGGGCGAAAGCCUGAUGCAGCAAUGCCGCGUGUGUGAAGAAGGCCUGCGGGUUGUAAAGCACUUUCAGUAGGGAGGAAACAGUAGCCGGUUAAUAUCCGGUUGCCUUGACGUUACCUACAGAAGAAGCACCGGCUAACU